rnacentral:other from 1 species
CGCGCUCUGCGGUGCACGUGGACGAGCCGUCGGUGUAGAGCCAACGUACAACCCAAGGGAGCACUAUCUCCGGUACCGACACGUGCGAAGAUGCCCACCAUCAUCGCCACAGGCGGCCGGGACGCACCCACCUGCGAGAGCAGGUUCUAACCCUAGGCUCGAUACGACACGGUGGAGCGCGC